AACGAACGCUGGCGGCGGGCUUAACACAUGCAAGUCGAACGGAAAGGCCCUGCUUGUUUGUGGUUCUCGAGUGGCGAAGGGGUGAGAAACAUGGGAGUAAGCUGGGCUGUGCGGGAUGAUAUCUGCAGACAACUGGUGCUAAUACCUGAGAGGAGCUGCUGCUGCAGGGUGGGGUUUGGACAGUUUCGGCGGUUGGGGAUGUACUCGCGGCUUAUCAGCUUGUGGGUGGGGUGGUUGCUUACCAAGGCUUUGAAGGGUGGCCGGCCUGGGAGGGUGAACGGCCACAUGGGGCCUGAGAUACGGAACAGACUCGUAUGGGAGGCAGCGGUGGGGAGUCUUGUCCAGUGGGCGGACGCCUGAUGCGGCAAUGCCGCGUGCGGGAUGCAGGCCAUGGGGUUGUAAAGCGCAUUAGCCUGUGACGAAGCGUGAGUGACGGUAAUGGGUGAAGAAGCACCGGCUAACUACGUG
rnacentral:rRNA from 1 species